UACGGAGGGUGCAAGCGUUGCUCGGAAUUAUUGGGCGUAAAGGGUAGGUAGGUGGUCUCAUUUGUCUGGGGUGAAAGCCUUGAGCUUAACUCAAGAAGUGCCCCAGAAACGGUGAGACUAGAGUCCUGGAGAGGGUCGUGGAAUUCCCGGUGUAGCGGUGAAAUGCGUAGAGAUCGGGAGGAACACCAGAGGCGAAGGCGGCGACCUGGACAGGUACUGAUACUCAACUACGAAAGCGUGGGGAGCAAACAGG
rnacentral:rRNA from 1 species